UAGAGAGAAGCUUGCUUCUCUUGAGAGCGGCGGACGGGUGAGUAAUGCCUAGGAAUCUGCCUGGUAGUGGGGGAUAACGUUCGGAAACGGACGCUAAUACCGCAUACGUCCUACGGGAGAAAGCAGGGGACCUUCGGGCCUUGCGCUAUCAGAUGAGCCUAGGUCGGAUUAGCUAGUUGGUGAGGUAAUGGCUCACCAAGGCGACGAUCCGUAACUGGUCUGAGAGGAUGAUCAGUCACACUGGAACUGAGACACGGUCCAGACUCCUACGGGAGGCAGCAGUGGGGAAUAUUGGACAAUGGGCGAAAGCCUGAUCCAGCCAUGCCGCGUGUGUGAAGAAGGUCUUCGGAUUGUAAAGCACUUUAAGUUGGGAGGAAGGGCAGUUACCUAAUACGUAAUUGUUUUGACGUUACCGACAGAAUAAGCACCGGCUAACUCUGUGCCAGCAGCCGCGGUAAUACAGAGGGUGCAAGCGUUAAUCGGAAUUACUGGGCGUAAAGCGCGCGUAGGUGGUUAGUUAAGUUGGAUGUGAAAUCCCCGGGCUCAACCUGGGAACUGCAUUCAAAACUG
rnacentral:rRNA from 1 species